GGAGAUCACUGCUAUUGGAAUUCGACUAAGGCAUGCGAGUCGAGAGGGUACGGCCCUCGGCAGACUGCUCAGUAACACGUGGACAAUCUGCCCUUAGGCGGGGGAUAAUCUCGAGAAAUUGAGCAUAAUACCCCAUAGCUCUAGAUUGCUGGAAUGCUUUUAGAGUGAAAGCCCCGGCGCCUAAGGAUGAGUCUGCGGCCUAUCAGGUUGUAGUGAGUGUAACGGACUCACUAGCCGACGACGGGUACGGGUCCUGGAAGGGAGAGCCCGGAGAUGGACUCUGAGACACGAGUCCAGGCCCUACGGGGCGCAGCAGCUACGAAAACUUCACAAUGCGGGAAACCGUGAUGAGGGAAUUCCAAGUGCUAAUACUUUGUAUUAGCUGUUUACUUGUCUAAAAAACAGGUAGAGUAAGGGCUGGGUAAGACUGGUGCCAGCCGCCGCGGUAAUACCAGCAGCCCGAGUGGUGAUCGUUAUUAUUGGGCCUAAAGCGUCCGUAGCCGGUUUGGUAAACCCUUGGGUAAAUCGGGCAGCUUAACUGUCCGACUUCUGAGGAGACUGCCAGACUUGGGACCGGGAGAGGUCAGAGGUACUUCUAGGGUAGAGGUGAAAUUCUGUAAUCCUAGGAGGACCACCAGUGGCGAAGGCGUCUGACUAGAACGGGUCCGACGGUAAGGGACGAAACCCUGGGGCGCGAACCGGAUUAGAUACCCGGGUAGUCCAGGGCGUAAACGCUGCGGGCUUGGUGUUGGGGGUCCUACGAGGGCGUCCAGUGCCGGANAGAAGUUGUUAAGCCCGCCGCCUGGGGAGUACGAUCGC
rnacentral:rRNA from 1 species